rnacentral:lncRNA from 1 species
GGUCAGACUUUGGGGGAGUAACUCAUACUAACCCAAACCUAUCAGACAAAUGUAUAAUGCAAAUCACCAAUGUAUUGUGAGUGUGGAGUUGUAUACAAAAUGGACAACCAGCCCAUUUGUACAACUAGAACUCUGAAGUACAGCCUGCAGCCACCUACCCAGGAAAACAACAUUUUCUUUUUUUUUCUGAGACAGAGUCUUACUCUGUUGCCCAGGCUGGAGUUCAGUGGCGCGAUCUCGGCUCACUGCAACCUCCGCCUCCCGGGUUCAAUCAAUUCUCCUGCCUCAGCCUCCUGAGUCUCAUCUGUACUCCCAGCUACUGAGAAGGCUGAGGCAGGAAGAUCACAUGAGCCUGGAAAUUCAAGGUUACAAUAAGCUAUGAUUCUGUCACUGCACUCCAGCCUGGGCAACAGGACAAGCCCUGUCUCAAAAAAAAAUUAGCAUCUUAACAAUUUUCAAGUGCACAGUUCAGUGGUGUUAAGUACAUUCACAUUGAUGUGCAAUCACUACAUCCAUCUCCAGAACUUUUUCAUCUUCCCAAACUGAAUUUCUGUCCCCAUUAAACACUAACUCCCCAUUUCCCUUCCCCCAGCCCCUGGCAGCAACUCUUUUAUACAUAUACCCAGAAUUGGGAUUGCUGGAUCAUAUGAGAAUUUUUAAAAAAUUUUUUGAGGAACUGACAUACUGUAUUCUAUAGAGGCUACUGCCAAAUUUUUAUUUUUAACUCCUCUUUUUAAGAUCUGUGAAGAGCUUCUGUCUUAGUCCAUUUGUGCUGCUAUAAAAGAAUAUCACAGACUUCCAAACACAAAGAAAAGAUAAAUGUUUGAGGUGAAGAAUAUCCCAAUUACCCUGAUUUGAUGAUUAAUAUUGUAUACUUGCCUGGAUGUGGUGGCUCACGCCUGUAAUCUCAGCACUUUGGGAGGUAGAGGCAGGUGGAUCACUUGAAGUCAGGAGUUUGAGUCUAGCCUGGCCAACAUGGUGAAACCCCAUCUCUACUGAAAAUACAAAAAUUAGCCAAGCAUGGUGGUGGGCACCUGUAAUCCCAGCUACUCAGGAGGCUGAGGCAGGAGAAUCGCCUGAGCUAGGGGGGCAGAAGCUGCAGUGAGCCAAGAUAGCACCACUGCAUUCCAGCUUGGGUGACAGAGUGAGACUCCAUCUCAAAAAAACAAUUAUAUACAUGUAUCGAAAUAUCAUACGUACCCUCCAAAUAUGUACAACUAUGAUAUGUCAAUUUGAAAAAGAAUACCACAGACUAAAUAAUUUAUAAAGAAAAGAAAUUUAUUUGUCACAGUUCUGAAGACUGGGAAGUCCAAGAUCAAGUUGCCACCAUCGGGUGAGGGCCCUCUGCUGUGUCAUCUCAUGGCAGAAGGCAGAAAGGCAAGACAGCAAGCUAGCCAAGUGCAGCAUGAAGGCUCUUUUUUAAGAGCCUUAAUCUCAUUAAUUUAUUUAUCCCAUUUAUGUAUUCAUUCCUUAUUAGGAAGGAGCCCUCAUGGCGUAAUCACCUCUUAAAGGUCCCAUCUCUUAAUGUCAGCACACUGGUAACAUCUGAAUUUUGGAGAGGAUACAUCCAAACCAUAGCGUUCUGCUCCAUACCCUCCCCAAAACUUAUGUCCUUCUCACAUACAAAAUGCAUUCAUUUCAUUCCAAUAGCCCCAAAAGUCUUAACUCCUUCCGGAAUCAACUCAAAAGUCUAAAAUCAAAAGUCUCAGGUAAAUCAAAUAUGAGUGAGACUCAAGGUGUGAUUCUUCCUGAGGCAAAUUGUUCUCCAGCUGUGAAUCUGUGGAAUCAAACAAGUACUUGUUUCCAAAAUACAAUAGAGGAACAGGCAUAGCAUAAACAUUCUCAUUCCAAAAGGGUGCAAUAGGAAAGAAGGAAGGAGUAACCAACAGAAUAAAUAACAUUAAAUCUUAAGACUUAAUAAUAUUUGGCUAGGUGUGACAGCUCACCCCUGUAAUCCCAGCACUUUGGAGGCCAAGGUGGGAGGAUUGCUUCCGCUGGUGACUUUACAGGUCUGAGGUCUUGGGGGCAGCCCCACUCCCAUGGCUCCAUUAAGCAUUGCCCUAGUGGAUGCUCUCAUUUGUGGCUCUCCCCCUGCAGCAAGUCACUACCUGGACCCUGAGGCUGUUUGAGACAUCUUUUGGAAUGUAGG